AUGAUUGCGCAUUUCUGGCGGGGAGACGAGGAGAACCAGAGGAGGAUGCACUGGAUGGCCUGGUGGAAAAUGUGUGUACCAAAAGUCCAAGGAGGAAUGGGUUUCCGUGAUAUCCACUGUUUCAACCUGGCUCUGCUUGCCAAACAGGCAUGGCGUUUCCUUGAUAAUCCUGAAUCAUUGCGUGCCACCAUUCUAAGGGCCAAGUACUGUCCUAAUGGCGACUUGCUGAAUUCCAAGCCAAAGCAUGGUGCUUCCUUCACCUGGCAAAGCAUCAUGUCAGGCAUAACUACCCUGAAACGUGGCUAUAUUUGGUGA
rnacentral:rRNA from 1 species